GAUUACCCGCAAGACUUGGGCAGCCCCGGGCGCCGCUCCGACCACGACAGGGAAAGGUAAAGCGAACUGUCCUCCUUGGGGCUAGCCAGGCUCCCCUGCGAGGGGGAAGGUAAUGGUUUCAAGCUGCCCGGGCUGGGUUCCGAAUCUCUAGGACGCCAUGGCUGCGAUCUCCUCGCUUUCCUGGACAUCUUACCUCCGGAUGUACUCCAGUCUCAGUGCCCCUCAAUAAACGUUAACCUGCUUUGCCAAAAUGAACCUUAAUCUCAUCUUUAAAAUAAGGAGAAUUACUGAGUGACCUGAAGGACCCUUUUCAGCUGGAAAGUCUGAACUGACCAACACUGGAUGAAUUUGACCAUUUCUUAGGAGACUGGAAUGUUAAGUUUCUAUAAAUGAAUGAACCAGUUCUCUCUUGUUUGGAGCAAUGCUGAAAUUCCAAGAGGCAGCUAAGUGUGUGAGUGGAUCAACAGCCAUUUCCACUUAUCCAAAGACCUUGAUUGCAAGAAGAUACGUGCUUCAACAAAAACUUGGCAGUGGAAGUUUUGGAACUGUCUAUCUGGUUUCAGACAAGAAAGCCAAACGAGGAGAGGAAUU
rnacentral:lncRNA from 10 species